GACGAACGCUGGCGGCGUGCUUAACACAUGCAAGUCGAACGGAAGGGCCCUGCUUUUGUGGGGUGCUCGAGUGGCGAACGGGUGAGUAACGCGUGAGUAACCUGCCCUUGACUUUGGGAUAACUUCAGGAAACUGGGGCUAAUACCGGAUAGGAGCUCCUGCUGCAUGGUGGGGGUUGGAAAGUUUCGGCGGUUGGGGAUGGACUCGCGGCUUAUCAGCUUGUUGGUGGGGUAGUGGCUUACCAAGGCUUUGACGGGUAGCCGGCCUGAGAGGGUGACCGGCCACAUUGGGACUGAGAUACGGCCCAGACUCCUACGGGAGGCAGCAGUGGGGAAUAUUGCACAAUGGGCGGAAGCCUGAUGCAGCAACGCCGCGUGCGGGAUGACGGCCUUCGGGUUGUAAACCGCUUUCGCCUGUGACGAAGCGUGAGUGACGGUAAUGGGUAAAGAAGCACCGGCUAACUACGUG
rnacentral:rRNA from 1 species